AAUUUUAUAGUUUAAUUAUAUAACAUUAGAAUGCAAUUCUAAAAGUAUAAAUUUUUGUUUA
rnacentral:tRNA from 1 species